CCUGGCCCGGCUCUUCGGAUCCAAUUCCUCUGACUCUCCAGGGACCCGGCCGCGGCCCUGAAGCCCCGCCCCUCCCACCGUGACGUCAGUGAUAUUCUUUUCAGCUGGGGGGAAGGGGCGGAGACUGCGCAAAGGACAGGACAAUUUCUAGCCCAGCCCUCGCAAAGGCUCCUGGGAAUUGUAGUCUGGGCCUGCGCUCCUAGGGCUACCCAAGGGAAACCGUGAGAUUGGUUGCCCGAGUACUUUUCUCUGAAUCUCCAUCUUAUUAAAUCAUUGGUCCAUUUCACAAGUUGCUUAUCUUAGAGACAACGGGGGUCAAAAAUUAAGACACUAUGGUGCAAUAUGGAAGAAGGAUUUACUUGGAAAUUUUCACAAAGUUUUUGAUAAGAAUUGAUACCGAUCAUACUUGUUGACACACGGAGAUAAUUUGAUAAUUGGUUUAUUAUAUGCUCAGAGCACGAACUGUACAAGCAAUGCAGGUACUCAGAAAUAAAUGAUGAGCCAAGGAUAGUAUAAGGCUGUGUGGGAGCAGUAUGAAUGUACUUUCUCAUGGGAAAGCCAGUCAACAACAUAUGGCCAAUGUAGGAGGGAACAUGUUCCUUUCCUAACAGGAAAAGAUGAAUCCGGCAUAGGAGAAGCUACGCUAUGGAAGGUCCUGCACUCCAAUGCUAAAGACACAUCUGGCUUCUGGAAGAUAAGACUUGCUUCCGUAACUUCAAGGCACCAACCCUCCUUUAAUGUAACUGUAUAAGGCAAUAUAUCAUUCGCUGUCCCUCUAUUCAUUGAGCUUACACUGCAUUUUGUAUCCGUGAAACACUAUAAAAAACUGCUUGUAACUUCCACUGUUCGGUCCAGUUCUGGUUCUGAUUCCAAGGAGGACACACACACGGUAAUGCAAUAUACAAGAGAUACUUUAUUCAAGCUAUAGCCUAGGUCUCCACAAGAAGUGAAAGACCCCGAGCUUUUCUUAGACCUGGCUUAUAUAGGGGAGAAAGGGGAAGGGGGAGGGGUGGUUGUCCUGACAACCAGGCACCAAAAGGAAGACACAUCAAUCUUACAACUGUGGGGUCCGUGAAGCAGCCACCUAAAAGACCAUAGGGGGAGAGAGGGGAGACCAAGCACGCAAGAAAGACAGUCUGUCUAAUAGUGUCAAGGCUCGUUUAUUGCAGGCGCAGGGCAAGAAUAUAUACACUUGGGGGGGGGUGGUGGUGAUUAAGGACGGGUUGUAAUAGG
rnacentral:lncRNA from 1 species